CGGGGCGCUUGGGGAAUUCUGACCUCACGGGUGGUGGUGGGGACUCGGUCUCCCGCUGCCCCAAGUCCCCAGCCUCGGGACGGGCCGGGAGCUGGCCGAAGCCCUGGCUUGGGAAUCAGACCUUAGUUUCUGGUGCAGCGUCGCCAGAUGCAGGCUGGCUUCGAAUUCAUCCUCCUCCUGCCUCAGCCUCCUGAGUGCCGGGACUACAUUCAUGUGCCACCACACCCAGCUUCCGCUUCUGCUCGAUGCUACUAAUGCAUGUAGGACAGGCUGAUGAGCAUGCAGGCUUUAGACGGUGAGGAUGAAACUCUUACAUAGGGAUCCAGUCUGGGGGACAGCACCAGACUCCGCCACCCCAUGUGUCUCAGCGCAGAAGAUGGAACCAGGGGCCUCACACACACGUGGAUGCACAGCUUUCCUUAGCCUGCUCAUCUCUCUGGGACAACGCUGCCCUCCCCCCAGCACCUGCACUUGAGCGUGGCCGUCCUCACUUGAGCCAGUGGCGUGGAAGUCCCAGCGAGCAGUUGGGGGAAGAAUCACAACCUCUUCCAGGGCACAGGUGGCUCCAUUUCAGAUUUCCCUCCAGACCUGUUAGGCGAAAGUGGAUACACUAUGUCCCUAAAACAAAUACUCCAAAGGCUUCCUAAAUCCAUAGUGAGAAAGAAAAUGUUCUUCUAAUCAUUCAUAAUUUUAAAUGAACAU